rnacentral:rRNA from 1 species
UGGUGGAGUGAUUUGUCUGGUUAAUUCUGAUAACGAACGAGACCUCUUUCUACUAAAUAGUUGUAUUUAAAGUCACUUGUUGCUUAGAUCAUGACUUCUUAGAGAAACAAUUCGGGUUUUACCGGAUGGAAGUUUGAGGCAAUAACA